GUCUCUAUUGUGUUCAUACCUUCCUCUUGUACAUGAACAGUGCCAUUUUUGGCUUCAGCAGGAUCACAACUUGAAGAAUGCUAUCCACUGACACGGGUGUGGUAUGAUAUGAACACAUCAAAUGGGAUAUUGACAUGGGAUCAUUUUUUUCUUACAGGGUGAUCGCGGUGAACCUGGUCCUGCUGGCCUUCCUGGUUCUCCAGGUUCUCCAGGCACUCCAGGGCCAGUUGGACCUACAGGAGAUGCAGGACAAAGAGGUGAACCCGGCUCACGGGGACCAGUGGGUCCUCCUGGUCGCGCUGGAAAACGUGGAUUGCCUGGUCCGCAAGGCCCUCGUGGUGACAAAGGUGAUAACGGAGAUCGAGGUGACAGAGGUCAGAAGGGUCACCGAGGUUUCACUGGCCUUCAAGGUCUUCCUGGACCUCCUGUAAGUCAUUACCUGCAUUUUCAUUGUUACACUUGUUCAGAUCCAAGGCUUUGUGUGUCUGUCCUUCUGUAUUUAUU
rnacentral:lncRNA from 1 species